UACGUAGGGUGCAAGCGUUGUCCGGAAUUAUUGGGCGUAAAGAGCUCGUAGGCGGUCUGUCGCGUCGAUCGUGAAAACCUGGGGCUCAACCCCGGGCCUGCAGCCGAUACGGGCAAGCUAGAAUUCGGUAGGGGAGACGUGGAAUUCCUGGUGUAGCGGUGAAAUGCGCAGAUAUCAGGAGGAACACCGGUGGCGAAGGCGGGUCUCUGGGCCGAUAUCGACGCUGAGGAGCGAAAGCGUGGGGAGCGAACAGGG
rnacentral:rRNA from 1 species